UGGGGAAUAUUGCACAAUGGGCGCAAGCCUGAUGCAGCAACGCCGCGUGAGGGAUGACGGCCUUCGGGUUGUAAACCUCUUUUAGUAGGGAAGAAGCGAAAGUGACGGUACCUGCAGAAAAAGCACCGGCUAACUACGUGCCAGCAGCCGCGGUAAUACGUAGGGUGCGAGCGUUGUCCGGAAUUAUUGGGCGUAAAGAGCUCGUAGGCGGUCUGUCGCGUCUGCUGUGAAAACCCGAGGCUCAACCUCGGGCCUGCAGUGGGUACGGGCAGACUAGAGUGCGGUAGGGGAGAAUGGAAUUCCUGGUGUAGCGGUGGAAUGCGCAGAUAUCAGGAGGAACACCGAUGGCGAAGGCAGUUCUCUGGGCCGUAACUGACGCUGAGGAGCGAAAGCGUGGGGAGCGAACAGGAUUAGAUACCCUGGUAGUCCACGCCGUAAACGUUGGGCGCUAGAUGUGGGGACCAUUCCACGGUUUCCGUGUCGCAGCUAACGCAUUAAGCGCCCCGCCUGGGGGAGUACGGCCGCAAGGCUAAAACU
rnacentral:rRNA from 1 species